UCUUCGGGGUGCCUCUGGCUGAGACCGCGCGAUUUGCGCGGAACCCGUGAACCUGAUACGGAUCAUACCGGCGGAGGGAAAGACAG
rnacentral:ncRNA from 1 species